rnacentral:rRNA from 1 species
UACGGGGGGGGCAAGCGUUGUUCGGAAUUACUGGGCGUAAAGCGUGCGCAGGCGGUUGUGCAAGACAGAUGUGAAAUCCCCGGGCUUAACCUGGGAACUGCAUUUGUGACUGCACAGCUGGAGUGCGGCAGAGGGGGAUGGAAUUCCGCGUGUAGCAGUGAAAUGCGUAGAUAUGCGGAGGAACACCGAUGGCGAAGGCAAUCCCCUGGGCCUGCACUGACGCUCAUGCACGAAAGCGUGGGGAGCAAACAGG